CUUGCGCCAGCGAUUGAAGCGAAAAUCCUUUCGCUUGGCGAAAGAUUGCAGCGGAAAGCGCGGUCGAUU
rnacentral:sRNA from 1 species